UACGAAGGGAGCUAGCGUUGUUCGGAAUCACUGGGCGUAAAGCGCAUGCAGGCGGAUCGCUAAGUCGGGGGUGAAAUCCCGAGGCUCAACCUCGGAACUGCCUUCGAUACUGGCGAUCUUGAGUCCGGGAGAGGUGAGUGGAACUCCGAGUGUAGAGGUGAAAUUCGUAGAUAUUCGGAAGAACACCAGUGGCGAAGGCGGCUCACUGGCCCGGUACUGACGCUGAGAUGCGAAAGCGUGGGGAGCAAACAGG
rnacentral:rRNA from 1 species